rnacentral:rRNA from 1 species
GAUGAACGCUGGCGGCAUGCCUUACACAUGCAAGUCGAACGGUAACGGGCCUUCGGGUGCCGACGAGUGGCGAACGGGUGAGUAAUGCAUCGGAACGUACCUUUCAGUGGGGGAUAACGUAGCGAAAGUUACGCUAAUACCGCAUAUUCUGUGAGCAGGAAAGCAGGGGAUCACAAGACCUUGCGCUGAUUGAGCGGCCGAUGUCAGAUUAGCUAGUUGGUGAGGUAAAGGCUCACCAAGGCGACGCUCUGUAGCGGGUCUGAGAGGAUGAUCCGCCACACUGGGACUGAGGCACGGCCCAGACUCCUACGGGAGGCAGCAGUGGGGAAUUUUGGACAAUGGGGGCAACCCUGAUCCAGCCAUGCCGCGUGAGUGAAGAAGGCCUUCGGGUUGUAAAGCUCUUUCGGCCGGGAAGAAAUCGCACAGGCUAAUACCUUGUGUGGAUGACGGUACCGGAAUAAGAAGCACCGGCUAACUACGUGCCAGCAGCCGCGGUAAAAC